rnacentral:siRNA from 1 species
UGUUCCUAUUUGAUGAGGGUAAU